CCACCACUUGGGGAUAACCUUGCGAAAGUAAGACUAAUACCCAAUGACGUCUCUAGAAGACAUCUGAAAGGGAUUAAAGAUUUAUCGGUGAUGGAUGGGGAUGCGUCUGAUUAGCUUGUUGGCGGGGUAACGGCCCACCAAGGCAACGAUCAGUAGGGGUUCUGAGAGGAAGGUCCCCCACAUUGGAACUGAGACACGGUCCAAACUCCUACGGGAGGCAGCAGUGAGGAAUAUUGGUCAAUGGACGAGAGUCUGAACCAGCCAAGUAGCGUGCAGGAUGACGGCCCUAUGGGUUGUAAACUGCUUUUAUAAGGGAAUAAAGUGAGUCUCGUGAGACUUUUUGCAUGUACCUUAUGAAUAAGGACCGGCUAAUUCCGUGCCAGCAGCCGCGGUAAUACGGAAGGUCCGGGCGUUAUCCGGAUUUAUUGGGUUUAAAGGGAGCGUAGGCCGGAGAUUAAGCGUGUUGUGAAAUGUAGAUGCUCAACAUCUGCACUGCAGCGCGAACUGGUUUCCUUGAGUACGCACAAAGUGGGCGGAAUUCGUGGUGUAGCGGUGAAAUGCUUAGAUAUCACGAAGAACUCCGAUUGCGAAGGCAGCUCACUGGAGCGCAACUGACGCUGAAGCUCGAAAGUGCGGGUAUCGAACAGGAUUAGAUACCCUGGUAGUCCGCACGGUAAACGAUGGAUGCCCGCUGUUGGUCUGAAUAGGUCAGCGGCCAAGCGAAAGCAUUAAGCAUCCCACCUGGGGAGUA
rnacentral:rRNA from 1 species